rnacentral:sRNA from 1 species
AGCCAUUUCUAUUUAAAAUUUUGUUUAUUUCUUUCUGAAAGGAAGAAGAUUUCUCUCCCCAUGUCGGCUGUAGUCUGCCUCUGGCUUCGGCAUCUUCCCAGCCUUGAAAAAGCAAUGCUGCAUCUUUUUGAAAAGCUAAUCUCCAGUGAGAGAAAUUGUCUGAGAAGGAUCGAAUGCUUUAUAAAAGAUUCAUCGCUGCCUCAAGCAGCCUGCCACCCUGCCAUAUUCCGGGUUGUUGAUGAGAUGUUCAGGUGUGCACUCCUGGAAACCGAUGGGGCCCCGGAAAUCAUAGCCACUAUUCAGGUGUUUACGCAGUGCUUUGUAGAAGCUCUGGAGAAAGAAAGCAAGCAGCUGCGGUUUGCACUCAAGACCUACUUUCCUUACACUUCUCCAUCUCUUGCCAUGGUGCUGCUGCGAGACCCUCAAGAUAUCCCUCGGGGACACUGGCUCCAGACACUGAAGCAUAUUUCUGAACUGCUCAGAGAAGCAGUUGAAGACCAGACUCAUGGGUCCCGCGGAGGUCCCUUUGAGAGCUGGUUCCUGUUCAUUCACUUUGGAGGAUGGGCUGAGAUGGUGGCAGAGCAGUUACUGAUGUCGGCAGCCGAACCCCCCACGGCCCUGCUGUGGCUCUUGGCCUUCUACUACGGCCCCCGUGACGAGAGGCAGCAGAGAGCACAGACUAUGGCACAAUUAAAUCAGCCGGUGGCAUAUCCCCGCAUCGUGUGCUAGGCCUGGCGUCACUGCCUCUGUGGACGUCCUUGAGGUGAAGAACAUGGGUGCAAAGAGCAAGCGUGUCCCCGCCCAGGAUGUGUCCUGCCUGUGAGAAGGCCUGUCCCACUCAU